rnacentral:lncRNA from 9 species
AACAACAAAAGGAGCUUACCAGUGUGCAAGCCUCCGGAGCAGGGACAGGCGUUAGUAUAUUUUAUAUUUUUUAAUUGUGGUAGCAUACAAACCACAAGGUUGACUGUCUGUGCCAUCUUCAGGCGCACACUCAGGCUUCUCCAUCCUCAGUGCACACUCAGGUCUCCUCCAUCCUCAGGCACACACUCUGGUCUCCUCCAUCCUCAGUGCACACUCAGGUCUCCUCCAUCCUCAGUGCACACUCAGGUCUCCUCCAUCCUCAGGUGCACACUCAGGCUUCUCCAUCCUCAGGUGCACACUCAGGUCUCCUCCAUCCUCAGGUGCACACUCAGGCUUCUCCAUCCUCAGGCGCACACUCAGAUCUUCUCCAUCCUCAGGCGCACACUCAGGUCUCCUCCAUCCUCAGUGCACACUCAGGUCUCCUCCAUCCUCAGUGCACACUCAGGCUUCUCCAUCCUCAGGUGCACACCCAGGCUUCUCCAUCCUCAGUACACGCUCAGGUCUCCUCCAUCCUCAGGCACACACUCAGGCUUCUCCAUCCUCAGUACACGCUCAGGUCUCCUCCAUCCUCAGUGCACACUCAGGUCUCCUCCAUCCUCAGUGCACACUCAGGUCUCCUGCAUCCUCAGUGCACACUCAGGUCUCCUGCAUCCUCAGUGCACACUCAGUUCUCCUCCAUCCUCUGGUGCACACUCAGGUCUCCUCCAUCCUCAGGUGCACACUCAGGUCUCCUCCAUCCUCAGUGCACACUCAGGCUUCUCCAUCCUCAGGCGCACACUCAGGUCUCCUCCAUCCUCAGUGCACACUCAGGUCUCCUCCAUCCUCAGUGCACACUCAGGUCUCCUCCAUCCUCAGGUGCACACUCAGGCUUCUCCAUCCUCAGGUGCACACUCAGGUCUCCUCCAUCCUCAGGCGCACACUCAGGUCUCCUCCAUCCUCAGUGCACACUCAGGUCUCCUCCAUCCUCAGGUGCACACUCAGGUCUCCUCCAUCCUCAGUGCACACUCAGGUCUCCUCCAUCCUCAGUGCACACUCUGGUCUCCUCCAUUCUCAGGUGCACACUCAGGUCUCCUCCAUCCUCAGUGCACACUCAGGUCUCCUCCAUCCUCAGGUGCACACUCAGGCCUCCUCCAUCCUCAGUGCACACUCAGGUCUCCUCCAUCCUCAGUGCACACUCAGGUCUCCUCCAUUCUCAGUGCACACUCAGGCUUCUCCAUCCUCAGGCACACACUCAGGUCUCCUCCAUCCUCAGAGCACACUCAGGUCUCCUCCAUCCUCAGUGCACACUCAGGUCUCCUCCAUCCUCAGUGCACACUCAGGUCUCCUCCAUCCUCAGUGCACACUCAGGUCUCCUCCAUUCUCAGGUGCACACUCAGGUCUCCUCCAUCCUCAGGUGCACACUCAGGCUUCUCCAUCCUCAGGCGCACACUCAGAUCUUCUCCAUCCUCUCAGGCACACACUCAGGUCUCCUCCAUCCUCAGUGCACACUCAGGCUUCUCCAUCCUCAGGCACACACUCAGGCUUCUCCAUCCUCAGGUGCACACUCAGGUCUCCUCCAUCCUCAGUGCACACUCAGGUCUCCUCCAUCCUCAGGUGCACACUCUUGCUUCUCCAUCCUCAGGUGCACACUCAGGUCUCCUCCAUCCUCAGUGCACACUCAGGUCUCCUCCAUCCUCUGGUGCACACUCAGGUCUCCUCCAUCCUCAGUGCACACUCAGGUCUCCUCCAUCCUCAGUGCACACUCUUGCUUCUCCAUCCUCAGGCACACACUCAGGUCUCCUCCAUCCUCAAGUGCACACUCAGGUCUCCUCCAUCCUCAGUGCACACUCAGGUCUCCUCCAUCCUCAGUGCACACUCAGGUCUCCUCCAUCCUCAGUGCACACACUCAGGCUUCUCCAUCCUCAGGCACACACUCAGGCUUCUCCAUCCUCAGUGCACACUCAGGUCUCCUCCAUCCUCAGUGCACACUCAGGCUUCUCCAUCCUCAGGCACACACUCAGGCUUCUCCAUCCUCAGGUGCACCCUCAGGUCUCCUCCAUCCUCAGGCACACACUCAGGUCUCCUGCAUCCUCAGUGCACACUCAGGUCUUCUCCAUCCUCGGUGCAUGCUCAGGUGUCCUCCAUCCUCAGGUGCACACUCAGGUCUUCUCCAUUUUAAGUGCACACACUCAGAUAUUUGUGUCUGUGUUUCCCUGAUGAUCAGUGGUGGUGAACAUCUCUGCAUGCGCUUAUCAGCCACGGGUGAUACCUUAUAUUUUGACGAGGGGUUAUGGUAGUUAGCCUCAUAGAUGGGCGUUUGAACUUUGUGGUCAAGCAACUCCGCUGCUGUGUUUCUGCCCUGAGUGGCUUGUUACUGUCUCUCCGUUACAUAUUGACCAGCUGUCAGUCUGGUGCCUGGAGCUUUGCACCUGUGAGCUCAUCCGAUUCUCACCCAAACUGGGAGUGGCCAUGCUGGUAUCCUCAUUUUACAGAUGAGGGUGACACAAGCGAAGUGACUUCACCAUGGAAGUGAAGUUCCCAGCCCAGCUGAAAAUCAAGCUCUGGGAGUCUGACAUCAAGACAGUUGACUUGGGGAGUUCCUUGGUGGCUCUGUAGGUUAAGGAUCCAGUGUUGUCACUACUGUGGUACAGGCUCAAUCCUGGGCCUGGGAACUUCUGAACGCCAAGGACAUGGCCAAAAAUAAGACCAUUGAUUUCCAUGAACGUGGUGCCAAUGGGCCUCACAGACACUGACCACUGUAGAAAAGCACCCCCAACCACGUGACUGCUCUCUGCUACUCAGGCUCCCCCCCACCCCAACCUCCAUGUGUGUCACAGGGAGGCCCUUCUGUCUUGGGGCGUCCCAAGUCCCAGCCCUGCCUGGUGCCCAGGCACUUGACUUAUGCCUACACACAGCCUAAAACCAUCUUUACAUUUUAAUACCCACGGUCCUUCAGCUUGAUUAAUGCUAUUAAGUAAAAUGCUGUUAUGCAUAAAGGAAAAAUAUAAAUAGAAGGACCUAGCUAAGUGCUUUUUUUAUUAGCCCUAGGGCAAGUUCAUUAACCAUGCUGGAACUGUUUUGCAUAAUUUAUGCAUUAUAUGCGUGUAUGCAGCAUGCCAAAUAAAAUAGAUCAUUGACUCAAUUAAUAACAGCGCCACCUCCCCUGCCGGGUUGAGGAAUCUGAGUUUCUGAUAAAUCCGGUCUUCAGUAGCUUAUGCACAGGAGCGACCCUCCAUCAAGACCCGUAUAUUCGGGUUUGGAAAAGGUCGAAGUGCCCUUUAAAGCAGAAAAUGACUGAAUCAGGAUCAUUAGCAGCUCGGAGGAGGAGUCCUAUUAUUCAGUCUUCCCUCCCGCCUCUCCCGCCACCUUAGAAACGGUGUAUCUGGUUUGUAACCAGUGUCCUUAGUGUCUUCCUUUUCCGCUGGUUCAGCGGCCUCCCCGCAUCUCUUCUAAGUCAAAGGGCAUUUUUUUUCAAUAUUUUUAUUGAAGUAUAGUUGGUUUACAGUGUUGUAUUAGUUUCAGGUGUACAGCAAAAUGGUUCAGUUAUACAUACAUAUAUACAAAGAGGACUUUAUUUUUGUUAUUAUUUUUAUGGACAAACCCUCGGCAUAUGGAAGUUCCCAGGCCAGGAGCCCAAUAGGAUCUGCAGCUGCCAGCCUACACCACAGCAACAGCAGAUUCCAACCGCAUCUGCAUGUGCCACAGCCACAGCAACACAGGGUCCGAACUGCAUCUGCAACCUACACCACAGCGCACAGCAACACCGGAGCCUUAACCCACUAAGCGAGGCCAGGGAUUAAACCCACAUCCUCAUGGACACUAUGUUGGGUUCUUAGCCCCCGAGCCACAACGGGAACUCCCAAAGAGGAUUUUUAAAGAAGAAUCUUCAAGCGGUUUCCAGAGGGUCUGUUACAUGAGGUUUCCCACAGUUCUUAGUUGGGGCUCAGGUCUCUGGAUCUGCGGCGUGAGUCCCCCCUGGUUUUUUCUCUAACUGCACUGCAUCAGUUCUGUUUAGAGAAUAGCCACCGCUCUGAGGGUGUCUUACUCCCAGUACACAGCCUCCUAGGGUGCACAUCCCCGCCGAAGGCAGCAGAGGAACCCAGGUUUCUCUGCAAAGCAGCGGAUGCUUGAAGAGGAAGCAGACUGUAGCCAGUGUCGCUGGGCUCAGUGUCUGGCGUCACACACUGGCCAGCACUGCUGGCUUCCUGAAGGCGAACCCAGGGCACAGGAGGGUCUGGGGAGGUGCCGAGGCCCCCAGGUCAAAGCGAUGCGUGUGCAGGCAUGACGCGGUGGGCAUCAGUGAAGGGUGGCCCUGCCUGGUAGGGUUCAGCCACACCUGAGCCACGGCCCGGCCACACCCCAUGUACCCAGUGCAGAGGCGACACCGCACGUCUCACUCUGAAGGAAAGGGAUGGAAAGCAACAGCUUUAUAUGGGUUACAUGUUAAGGUGAUAAGUCAUGUUAAAAGUCAUUUUACCCAUUCCUUGUUUUACUGUUUUCAAGAAAAUCGUAAGUGGCCGCUGUGGAUCUCAGUGCCUUUCUCUUGGGCAGCGUCUUUAAUAUGCUGGCGGCCCCGGGAGCCUGGGUGCGGCUGGAGCGCCCAGCAGUCCGCAGGCUGACCGACCUCGGCAUUCUGUUCCCACCCACGUUGAUAAAUCUUCCUCGAAUCGCGAUUUUCCACAGUAAACAGUUUCGGAAGCCGUCAAAGUAACGUUUUCGUCUUCGGCUCAGUCUCGUUCAGCCUCAACGACCUGUCACACUGCGUCUCCUGACGAAUCCACAAGGACUCCAUGUGCACCUGACUUAUUUGGUAUCCGGGAGGGCUGCGUUGGGACUGGCGAGGCCGGCCCUGCGGGGGGAGCGCUUUGUAAUUAACACGCAACCAAUCAACCUAGCGCUCUAUUAGCGCAUCCACAUUCCCACAUUCGUUGUGUACUAACGCAUCACUACCCGCAUUUAAACGAGCGGAACAAACGUAUCCUACUCACUAAAACAUGACUAAAACCAUCAGUCUAUUACUUAAACUUAUCAUUUAAUCAUCUUAAAACACGGGGGGAAGAAAUGAGCAGUAUGUCGCAUGAGUCCCAGGAGUCUUUACUAGAAACCUGGAGUUCCAUGGGUCUCGCAAAUCUUUCAAUUUGAGGUAGGGGUGGCAGCUGCCCAAGUGUUGGGGGAGCUGGAGACUCAAGGGGGAGCUGGAGCACAGGGCCAGGGCGCAGGGGUGGGACAAACCUGGUCGCACGCAGGGAGGCCACCCUGGAAGACCUCGGACAGCCCGGCCCACCCAGGGAUGUGACCCAGAGCUUCAGCAGAAGGAUAUAAAGAAAAGUGGGGUAUGAAUUUCUUUAGAAGAGUAACAUAAAUAUUCCACACCAUAAAAUAUAUAAGAAUAAUUUUGUAUGUGAUUUGCAGCAAAAAAGUCUCAGUCUAUUUAUAGGAACAGCAACUGACACGAUAUUGAUGAAAAUGUGGAUUACAUUACAUUUCUUUUUAAAUAAACGUGGCUUUCAUCCUAAAAGCAAAAAAGCCAUUGGCACAAAAGGCUUUGGAUUUUCCUGAGCCUAACAUGUUUGGAAAGCACUUGAAGGAAUUUUCCUGAACCUUCUGCUACGCUCAGUAAUCCCCACCUAAGCUACUCUUGACUAAACCAUUUGGGGAAUGACUCAUCCUACACCUGUCUCCCUUCGAAACUGCAGCCAUGGUAACGGGAAGAUCUAGUUUGUCCCUUGAAGCCCUUCUGGAUCAUUAAGUCAGAGCCCAGCAGAAGCCGCGUGAUUGUGAGCUGGCUGGGCUGGGGCUGCUCCCGCUCAGCUUCUGUCCGACUCCGUCUGCUUUGCAAGUGUCGUCAUCCGCGGAGAGAGAGCUGGGCUUCCAGGCCAGACAGCUGGAUGCAGACCCGCAGCCUCUCUCCCUGUUUGUCAGAGCACGCUGAUCACACCCACCUGGACGUGUGCAACAGCUCUGAAUGAGCCGGGCGACCCAGGACACUUACAAGGCAUCUGGCACGAGGCCCGCCUCGAUAAAUACCGAAAUGGCGCGGUUUUCCUGAGACGAUGGAAUGAUGGAAUGGCCUAGAAGAAGGGCACCAGAUAAAGUACAGAAUGCCAGUUGCUUUAGGAUUUCAGAUCAACAACGAAAUUUUUUCAUAUGAGCAGAUCUGUGCAAUAUUUGUAUUUUCAUUUUUUAGCCCACAACCCUCAUCUAAAGCCAUGCUUCUCAAACUCACAUCCCAGGGGCCGGGUCUGCCCAAAGCGACAAACUCAACCCCUGUGAACACUGGGUGGGCGCCGCCAGGGCAGCCUGUGAAAUUCGCAGGGCUCGGUGCAAAGUGAACGCGGGGUUCCUUUGUCCAGACGGCAGGGGAGGAGCUCUGCACCGAGCCUGGGCUGUGCUACCUCCGAGUUCCUGGGUCCCUGGGCACAGGGCUCUUCCUGCCUCGGUGCUUUGUCUUUGCCCAGGUGAUUCCCUGGGAUCUGCUUGCAUUCCUGGGCCGUGGGGUUGAGGAUGGGGAACAAUUCUUGUUUACUGAGCUCCAACGAGCCGCGGUUUCGCGCUGCACUUUCCACCUGCCGAGUGCUCAACGUCAGCCCUACCCACCGCCCGUCUCAGGGCAGAUGCAGAAUUUAUCCGGCACGGGCCCCCCGCCGUCCAGCUCACAGCUCUUCAGCGACGGAGCACGGCCCGGUUCCCUCUGUGUCCAGCUCUGUUCUUCGGCCCCUGCCCUGCCGGUGAGAAAAGCUGACACAGAAGCGGCAUCUUGUCCCUCGUCCCUUGCCCUGCUGUCCCUUGCCCUGUGGCUGGAGCUUUUAAGACGCGGAUUCACCUUGGAAGUGUCUUUGCACGUGAGCAAAUAAAGACCCACACGUGACCCUCUGGAAGCAGG